rnacentral:rRNA from 1 species
UGGGGAAUAUUGGACAAUGGGGGAAACCCUGAUCCAGCAAUGCCGCGUGAGUGAUGAAGGCCUUAGGGUUGUAAAGCUCUUUUACCAGGGAUGAUAAUGACAGUACCUGGAGAAUAAGCUCCGGCUAACUCCGUGCCAGCAGCCGCGGUAAUACGGAGGGAGCUAGCGUUGUUCGGAAUUACUGGGCGUAAAGCGCGCGUAGGCGGCUUUGUAAGUCAGAGGUGAAAUCCCGGGGCUCAACCCCGGAACUGCCUUUGAAACUACAUCGCUAGAGUCUUGGAGAGGUGAGUGGAAUUCCGAGUGUAGAGGUGAAAUUCGUAGAUAUUCGGAAGAACACCAGUGGCGAAGGC